GCGUUAUUUUUCUUUUCCCGUGCACCCCUCCUGGUACUUUAGCUCUCUGUCGUCUCGAUCUCUCCGCAGGAGAAGCGGGGAAUGGAGAAAGCGGUGCUGGAGGGAGGGGCCAGGCAAAGGGCAGCGCAGCCAGCCGGUGCUGCGGCUAGUCAUGGCGGCGUGAGGCCGCGGCGAGCCACGCUCCCUGCGCAUGGCGGCAGCCUGGCGCAGCAGCCCGGCGGGCGCGGGCAAGGCCUCGGCGCGCGGCGGGCAAAGCACGGUAGUAGGGCGCGGCGGCCGGCCCGGUGCGACGGCAGGUCGCGGCAGCAGAGCGCGCCAGCCGGCUUGUUGCGGCGCCAGGGCGCGGCAGCAAGGCGCGGCGGCCGGCGCGGGCGAGGCCCCGGCACGCAAGGCCGGGAGCGGUGGCGAGUUUGGAGAAGAUGAAGUCGACGAAGUCGUUUGAGGUUGAUUCAUUCACGGUAGCCACUCCUCUUCGUUUUGUUUUCUUACUUUCUUUGUGAAUGAUUCUAGGAUUGAAAUAUGGACAUACGGGAUUUGAGAUAGAUUAUAAGGAUGAUUUGUCUGUGGAUUGUGAU